UAAGCACGCCAAUAUCAAUAAAUAGUGAUAAUCAAAUUCCUGCAAACUCAACAGAAUCAGCGUUCGAUGUAUCAUUUAAGCCUACUUCUACACAGAUAGCUGAUGUACAGAGAUCUGGUGUAAAGAACAAUACAUUUGUUGUAGGAGAAGUAGUCAUUGUGAAUGUUGUUCUCUUCGGACUGUGUAUUCUCGUUGUCAUUAUGAUAAUCCUAAGAAAGCGAUUGACUUUACAAGUUUGUCAAACAGCCAAACAGAAAUUUCAAAGGUCUAACAUCAGUAAAAAUCCAAUGGUACAAACAAAUGGAAAUAGUGAAAUGAAGAACAGAAAUAAAACUGAAUUGGUUCGUGACAGCUAUGAUGAAACUUGGGAACUACGUCGUAAUAUAGUUCAUAUUGGCAAACUUGACCAGCAGGAUAUCAUUAUUGUUCAAACGGAGGAAACGGAAAUUUGAAAAAUUCUAUUGAUAGUUGAAAGCAAUUGAAAUUUUGUAUUGUUUUUGCUAAGUUCAACAACUCAAAACCCAACUUUCACUUCCUCUAGUUUUUGCCUUCAUAAAUGACUCAUAUAGUUUAAUACAAAAUUCGUAUGAUAUCAAUUCCGCGCGACUAAUCUGUGUUUCUCGGACAACCAUAAGUAGAUACAAUCGAGCCAAAAGUUUGAAAAGACAAAUACAUAAAACGUUUGUAACGAGCAUGAGUUCAAAUUUAGCUAAUGAAAGUACAUUCUUACUUUUAAAACAAUGAAUGAGCUUGUAGUCUGAAAAUUAAGUUAUAAAAUGUUAUAUUACUUCAUUCAGAUAACGACGUACUGACGUCGGGACAUAUGGUUGUGUAUCGGCUGUUUUUAGGACACACCAACUUUAAGUAUUAUAAAAAUUUCCCAAUGAUCAUCUUUAUAGAUGUUAUGAAAACAUGUUAUGUUCAGUCUUCAAAUCCUCAUAGUUAAAAAAACAAGUUUAUUUACA